rnacentral:rRNA from 1 species
GACGUAGGGCGCGAGCGUUGUCCGGAUUUAUUGGGCGUAAAGAGCUCGUAGGCGGCUUGUCGCGUCGUCCGUGAAAACCCAUGGCUCAACUGUGGGCUUGCGGUCGAUACGGGCAGGCUGGAGUUCGGUAGGGGAGACGUGGAAUUCCUGGUGUAGCGGUGAAAUGCGCAGAUAUCAGGAGGAACACCGGUGGCGAAGGCGGGUCUCUGGGCCGAUACUGACGCUGAGGAGCGAAAGCGUGGGGAGCGAACAGGAUGAGA